rnacentral:rRNA from 2 species
UGUCUUUUUGAAAAUAAUAUAAAGUCUAAUCUGCCCACUGAUUUUAUAUUAAAGGGCUGCAGUAUUUUGACUGUACAAAGGUAGCAUAAUCAUUAGUCAUUUAAUUGAUGACUUGUAUGAAAGAUUGGAUGAAAUAUAAACUGUCUCUUAAUUAUCAAUAUAAAACUUAAUUUUUUAAUUAAAAAGUUAAAAUAAUUUAAAAAGACGAGAAGACCCUAUAGAGUUUUAUAUUUAAAUUAAUUAAGAUUAUUUAAAAUUUAAAAUUAAAAUUAAUUUAUUUAUUAUAUUGGGGUGAUAGAAAAAUAUAUAUAACUUUUUUU